UUGAACGCUGGCGGCAUGCCUUACACCUGCAAGUCGCACGGCAGCACGGGUGCUUGCACCUGGUGGCGAGUGGCGAACGGGUGAGUAAUACAUCGGAACAUGUCCUGUAGUGGGGGAUAGCCCGGCGAAAGCCGGAUUAAUACCGCAUACGAUCUACGGAUGAAAGCGGGGGACCUUCGGGCCUCGCGCUAUAGGGUUGGCCGAUGGCUGAUUAGCUAGUUGGUGGGGUAAAGGCCUACCAAGGCGACGAUCAGUAGCUGGUCUGAGAGGACGACCAGCCACACUGGGACUGAGACACGGCCCAGACUCCUACGGGAGGCAGCAGUGGGGAAUUUUGGACAAUGGGCGAAAGCCUGAUCCAGCAAUGCCGCGUGUGUGAAGAAGGCCUUCGGGUUGUAAAGCACUUUUGUCCGGAAAGAAAUCCUUGGCCCUAAUACAGUCGGGGGAUGACGGUACCGGAAGAAUAAGCACCGGCUAACUACGUG
rnacentral:rRNA from 1 species